rnacentral:lncRNA from 1 species
GACACGGCGCGAAUCCUUCAACUGGUUGAGCCGCCACGUGUCGCGCUACACGAGCUGUCGCUGAGUAACAGCGGAAUCCUCUUUUGCUCCCCCAUUUUUAUUUCCUCUUGACGUUUCGCCCGCUAUACAUUAUUCGUAAGCUUCGACUCUUCGAGUGUUUGUCCGCUUCAACGCUGAUUGUCUAUAACCCGCUCGGCGGAGGCACCAGGCGUCAUGCAGUAUGUUCGCUCUCAGCGAGCCAAGAACAAGCUGUACAACGACAAAAAGGAUUCAGGAGUUGACUGGCUGGACUGAGGGGACAAGACAAGGACUUCAAGAAUACCUGGGCGAGGAACACCAAGGUCUCCGAUUUCGUGCUGAAAGAUGGAAAAUGCACAUGCAAAGCAUGACAGGGUGGACGCUGCAAACAUAUUGCUGCUGUGGUGCCUGGAGAGCUUCU